rnacentral:rRNA from 1 species
AGGGUUCGAUUCUGGCUCAGGAUGAACGCUAGCUACAGGCUUAACACAUGCAAGUCAGGGGCAGCAUGAUCGAAGCUUGCUUUGAUUGAUGGCGACCGGCGCACGGGUGAGUAACGCGUAUCCAACCUUCCCUAUAGUAGAGGAUAGCCCGGCGAAAGUCGGAUUAAUACUCUAUGUUUUUCCGAAGCAGACAUCUAAUUUGGAACAAAGGUUUACCGCUAUAGGAUGGGGAUGCGUCUGAUUAGGUUGUUGGCGGGGUAACGGCCCACCAAGCCUACGAUCAGUAGGGUUCUGAGAGGAAGGUCCCCCACAUUGGAACUGAGACACGGUCCAAACUCCUACGGGAGGCAGCAGUGAGGAAUAUUGGUCAAUGGGCGAGAGCCUGAACCAGCCAAGUAGCCGUGCAGGAUGACGGCCCUAUGGGUUGUAAACUGCUUUUAUACGGGGAUAAAGUGAGGGACGUGUCCCUUAUUGUAGGUACCGUAUGAAUAAGGACCGGCUAAUUCCGUGCCAGCAGCUGC